rnacentral:rRNA from 1 species
UACAGGGGGUGCAAACGUUGCUCGGAAUUAUUGGGCGUAAAGCGCACGUAGGCGGUUGCUUAAGUCGGAUGUGAAAGCCCUUGGCUCAACCAAGGAAGUGCAUCCGAAACUGAGCAGCUGGAGUACGAAAGAGGGUCGCGGAAUUCCCGGUGUAGAGGUGAAAUUCGUAGAUAUCGGGAGGAACACCGGUGGCGAAGGCGGCGACCUGGGUCGAUACUGACGCUGAGGUGCGAAAGCGUGGGGAGCAAACAGG